rnacentral:lncRNA from 1 species
AAUAUUUAAAGCAUAUUUAUAUAUAUAUAGUCAAGUCAUAGAGGAACAUUAGCAUAGUUGACAAAGCAAAUAAAACAAAGCUGAAAAUUAGUACAAUUGUCAUAAGAUAGUAUCUUGUACUUGGUACUCAAAAUAACUUAAUAUAUAACUUAAUAUUAAUAUAGUUAAUUAUCUUGAUCAUAAUUUCUCCAUCAGACAAAGGACCAGUUGAUGAACAUGAAAGCUAUGCAGUGAUUGGCAUCAUCAUCAU